AUGUGGACAUGCACCUGAAGCAGAUUGA
rnacentral:piRNA from 1 species